UCGACCCAGAAGGAUCGAGAGAAUCAGGAGAGCUUCUGACCCGGAACGCUGACCCAACGACCCGCUAGGUAACCCGGCCACAGUUUCCGAUUCCGGCUACCUCGACUCGGAGGACCUCAGGCAUUCAAACCCUCUCCUCAGAGCUGACGUCAUACUGGCAACGGAUUAUUCAAUCGGUGACGGACGACGACGAUACGAGGCCGAGAAGCUUCGACAGCUCCGGCGAAUUUUCUGCAAUUUCCGGCGACCGAUUUAACUGCAUGAGGUAGGAAAAUUAAUCCUCUCAACAAGCUCUACCUACCAGUAUAAUUUUUUUUUUCAAUUCGAUCAAGUUUUAAUGAAGUGGUUUCUGGGUUGGUUUCGGGUUCGACGCUGUCACCGACGCCGGCGACUGUUCUGGCUCCUCCGAGUUCGAUUUUCGUCCUACCUGCAUGUGUAGACGCACGUUGACCUCGGCUGUGUUAAGGUUGAAUUUCUAGCAGGCUGGGUUGUGAUGGUGUCGACUCCUCAACACAUCAUCCGUCAAGUUCCGGAAGGAUUUUCGAAAAGCUGCAGCGAUCGAGUUGGAAUAGAAGCUUGAGGUUUCAACCUGCAAAUUAUACUUACUGAAGUGUGGAUGCAGAUUAUGCACUGGUAACGGGAUUGGAGCGGACGGAGCUGGGUGUGUUUAUUUAGAUAAUGUAUCUUUACGGAAAUCAGGUUUCGAGUUUCAAAUCUUAUCCUUCUGAUAAUUGUAUUCCGGAACUUGCUGAAAUUCGUUUGUUGUAUCCUAAGUCCACUAUUUCUCGAUUGUUUACAACGUUAAGUCUUGGACGAACAUUUGAAUUUAAAGUUUUAGAAAGGUUUUCACCUCAAAAGAAUUUAAAAGUUUCCGUUGUGUUUUUUUUUUUUUUGAAAAAUUUAUUUUAAACAAAUUUACCUAGUGAAUUUAUAGAAUGUAAAUCGUAUUUUCGGUUUAUGUUUUAGAGACUCGCGGCACUGUAACGUACUCAGGCUGGUGAGGUGCAGUUUGAGGCGUUAUAUAUAUUAGUUAUAAACUUAUAACUACAUAAUCAAGGAGCCCAUGCGAGUACGUAAAUAGUGCAUGUUUUGGCUUGUAUUCUUGUACCUAAACUAAUUGAUUAUUGUUGUAAAUUUGUACUCAAUAUGGGAAAAAGAGAUUUUUUAUUUUUAUUUUA